GACGAACGCUGGCGGCGCGCUUAACACAUGCAAGUCGAACGGUGAACCUCUUCGGAGGGGAUCAGUGGCGAACGGGUGAGUAACACGUGGGCAACCUGCCCCCGGCUCUGGGAUAACUCCAAGAAAUUGGGGCUAAUACCGGAUGUUCACCGCUUCCCGCAUGGGUGGUGGUGGAAAGGGUUUCCGGCUGGGGAUGGGCCCGCGGCCUAUCAGCUUGUUGGUGGGGUAGUGGCCUACCAAGGCGACGACGGGUAGCCGGCCUGAGAGGGUGACCGGCCACACUGGGACUGAGACACGGCCCAGACUCCUACGGGAGGCAGCAGUGGGGAAUAUUGCGCAAUGGGCGGAAGCCUGACGCAGCGACGCCGCGUGGGGGAUGACGGCCUUCGGGUUGUAAACCUCUUUCAGCAGGGACGAAGCGCAAGUGACGGUACCUGCAGAAGAAGCACCGGCCAACUACGUG
rnacentral:rRNA from 1 species